GACGAACGCUGGCGGCGUGCCUAAUACAUGCAAGUAGAACGCUGAAGGAGGAGCUUGCUUCUCUGGAUGAGUUGCGAACGGGUGAGUAACGCGUAGGUAACCUGCCUGGUAGCGGGGGAUAACUAUUGGAAACGAUAGCUAAUACCGCAUAAGAGUAGAUGUCGCAUGACAUUUACUUAAAAGGUGCAAUUGCAUCACUACCAGAUGGACCUGCGUUGUAUUAGCUAGUUGGUGAGGUAACGGCUCACCAAGGCAACGAUACAUAGCCGACCUGAGAGGGUGAUCGGCCACACUGGGACUGAGACACGGCCCAGACUCCUACGGGAGGCAGCAGUAGGGAAUCUUCGGCAAUGGAUGGAAGUCUGACCGAGCAACGCCGCGUGAGUGAAGAAGGUUUUCGGAUCGUAAAGCUCUGUUGUAAGAGAAGAACGAGUGUGAGAGUGGAAAGUUCACGCUGUGACGGUAUCUACCAGAAAGGACGGUA
rnacentral:rRNA from 1 species